UAUAGUUUUAUAAUUCUACCCUUUGUCGAAAACCCACCAUCUACACCAAGUAAAAUUCGUUUUCAUAAGAAUCCAUUCAAGAAACUUCUCAAACGUUUCCUAAAUUUUGGAUUAACUCUCUCUAACUGUAAAGUUUUCAAAUUGUAAUUCUCAGAAAUCUGAAGCGAGUGUUAUCAAUGGCGAUACGAGAAUUUCAGUUGUACAACAGCAUGUCUAAGCAGAAGGAGAUCUUCGUACCUAAAGAGCCAGGGAAAGUUGGGAUGUAUAUGUGUGGUGUUACAGCUUAUGAUCUCAGUCAUAUCGGUCAUGCUCGUGCAUAUAUUGUUUUUGAUGUCCUUCAUAGAUUAUACAAAUUGAUUGUGACGGAGAUGUCUACUUUUCGGUGACAAAUUUCCAGCUUAUGGCCGGUUAGGUUAAAUGGCGGGUUAGGCAUGUACCUGGAAUUUGAUCUGGUUCUUGCUGGCAGAUUAUACAAAAAUGAUUGUGCUUAUGCUGCUGACGGAGAUGUCUACUUUUCGGAUGACAAAUUUUUAGCUUAUGGGCGGCUAUCUGGGCGAAAAUUAGAAGACGAUCGAGCUGGUGGAGGUGGGAGAGCUCAAGACAGUUUAACUUCAAAGAAAAGAAAUCAAAAUGACUUUGCAUGAUAGAAGGCUGCAAAGCCGGGGGAAAUUAGCUGGGAAAGUCCUUGGGGACCUGGUGGCACAUAGAGUGCAGUGCCAUGAGUGACCGUUAUCUGACUUCCUCCUUUGAUAUUCAUGGUGGAGGAAUGGAUCUGAUAUUCCCACAUCAUGAAAAUGAACUUGCUCAGAGUUGCGCUCCCCCCCGCCCCAACACUUGUGAAAUUAAAUAUUGGAAGCAUAAUGGGUUUGUCAAUACGAACAACGAGAAAAUGUCCAAGUCCCUUGGCAACUUUUUACUAUUUGUCAUCAAAUUGUAUCAUCCGUUAGCAUUGAGGUAUUUCAUGAUGACUACGCACUAUCGGUCUCCUGUCAAUUACUCACUAGAUCAGCUAGAUAUUGCGUCUGAUACUGUUUUGUACUCGUAUCAGAUGUUGCUGGACUGUGACGAGGCCUUAAUUCCAUUUCGAGAGAAAAAUCCGAGGGAUCAGUACCAAAGGGCAAAAAUAUUCGAAUAACUCCCGACGCCCAGGAAUGCAUCAAUAAAUUAAAGACUGAUUUUUACACUAAAAUGUCAGAUGAUCUCCACGCUCAAGACUUCCUGAAUGGUGCUCUUCAGGAAAUUUUGAAGCUCAUAAACAGUUCGCUGAACAAGCUCAAGAAGGCAAAGCAACAACAGCAAUCGUUGUUCCCGUCCCUUGCUGAAAUGGAGAAAGAAGCGAAGAUGGUUCUAGAUACUCUUGGGCUAAUGUCAUCUUUAUCCUAUUCAGAGGUACGGCGUCUUACGUCACCGAUAGUCCGUUUAUCUCCCUCAAGGAACAUUUCAGUGGAAGUUUAAAACAACCAAAAGAAAUUCCGUCAUUUUUCUUCACUAUCUGAAUUGUG